AGCAGCCGCGGUAAUUCCAGCUCCAAUAGCGUAUAUUAAAGUUGUUGCAGUUAAAAAGCUCGUAGUUGAAUUUCGGGGUCAGCAAGUUGGUCGUGCCACCGGUAUGCACUGGCUUUGCUGAUUCCUCCUUCUUGUAGAACCGUAAUGCCAUUAAGUUGGUGUUGCGGGGAAACAGGACUGUUACUUUGAAAAAAUUAGAGUGUUUAAAGCAGGCAAUCGCUUGAAUACAUUAGCAUGGAAUAAUGAAAUAGGACGUUCGAUCCUAUUUUGUUGGUUUCUAGGAUUGACGUAAUGAUUAAUAGGGAUAGUUGGGGGCAUUAGUAUUCAAUUGUCAGAGGUGAAAUUCUUGGAUUUAUUGAAGACUAACUACUGCGAAAGCAUUUGCCAAGGAUGUUUUCAUUAAUCAAGAACGAAGGUUAGGGGAUCGAAGACGAUCAGAUACCGUCGUAGUCUUAACCAUAAACUAUGCCGACUAGGGAUCGGAUGAUGUUAAUUUUUUAAUGACUCA
rnacentral:rRNA from 1 species